rnacentral:rRNA from 1 species
GAUGAACGCUGGCGGCGUGCUUAACACAUGCAAGUCGAACGGAAAGGCUCCUGCUUGCAGGGGUACUCGAGUGGCGAACGGGUGAGUAACACGUGGGUGAUCUGCCCUGCACUUCGGGAUAAGCCUGGGAAACUGGGUCUAAUACCGGAUAGGACCACAUUUUGGAUGGUGUGGUGGAAAGUUUUUCGGUGUGGGAUGAGCUCGCGGCCUAUCAGCUGGUUGGUGGGGUAAUGGCCUACCAAGGCGUCGACGGGUAGCCGGCCUGAGAGGGUGUACGGCCACAUUGGGACUGAGAUACGGCCCAGACUCCUACGGGAGGCAGCAGUGGGGAAUAUUGCACAAUGGGCGCAAGCCUGAUGCAGCGACGCCGCGUGGGGGAUGACGGCCUUCGGGUUGUAAACUCCUUUCGCUAGGGACGAAGCGUUUUUGUGACGGUACCUGGAGAAGAAGCACCGGCUAACUACGUG